ensembl:snRNA U2 U2 spliceosomal RNA
CAUGCCUCUCGGCCUUUUGGCUAAGAUCAAGUGUAGUAUCUGUUCUUAUCAGUUUAUCCAUGCCUCACAACCUCUGAGGAUGCUGGCCAUAAAUGUGGGCAAAACAUCAGGAGAGAAUACUU